rnacentral:rRNA from 1 species
UACGUAGGGGGCAAGCGUUUGUCCGGAAUCAUUGGGCGUAAAGAGCGUGUAGGCGGUCCGGUAAGUCGGCUGUGAAAGUCCAGGGCUCAACCCUGGGAUGCCGGUCGAUACUGCCGGACUAGAGUUCGGAAGAGGCGAGUGGAAUUCCCCGGUGUAGCGGUGAAAUGCGCAGAUAUCGGGAGGAACACCAAUGGCGAAGGCAGCUCGCUGGGACGUUACGUGACGCUGAGACGCGAAAGCGUGGGGAGCAAACAGGG